rnacentral:rRNA from 1 species
CCCUACUAUGCCCAACCGUAACAUAACAAUCAAAUAACCAAUUGUUCGCCAAAUAACUACGAGUACAGACUUAAAAUUUAAAAGACUUGACGGUACCUCAUAACAGCCUAGAGGAGCCUGUCAAAUAACCGAUACCCCACGAUUAACCCAACCCCCCCUAGCCCACAGUCUAUAUACCGCCGUCGCCAGCCCACCUUGUGAAAGAAAUAAAAUGAGCCAAAUAGUCAUGCACUAAUACGACAGGUCGAGGUGUAACUCAUGGGGGGGACCAUGAUGGGCUACAUUUUCUAAAAUAGAAAAUACGAAUAAACUAUGAAACAAGAAACUGAAGGAGGAUUUAGCAGUAUAUUAGAAAUAGAAUGUCUAAUAGAAAAUAACGCAAUGAGGUGUGUACACACCGCCCGUCAUCCCUGUAAGCAAACCAAAAAAUACAUAAUAACACACACUAUUUUAAAACA